GUGUUGGAUGUUGCUGUUCAGUCUGUGUCCUGUGUCUGCUCUCCUCUCCUCUUCCUGUGUCUACUACUUCUACAGAACAACAGCUCCAACUGAGACUCAGGUUCCUCUGAACAGGACUACGACCAGGGGAAGUGACAGCAGUGUGCAGACUACAGUCAAGUACCUAUACAUCCAUCAAUACCCGCAGAUUGUGAGACCUGUACCAUCCAUCAAUACCAGCAUAGUGUGAGACCUAUACCAUCCAUCAAUACC